rnacentral:rRNA from 1 species
CGACCGGCGCACGGGUGAGUAACGCGUAUGCAACCUACCUAUCAGAGGGGAAUAACCCGGCGAAAGUCGGACUAAUACCGCAUAAAACAGGGGUUCCACAUGGAAAUAUUUGUUAAAGAAUUAUCGCUGAUAGAUGGGCAUGCGUUCCAUUAGAUAGUUGGUGAGGUAACGGCUCACCAAGUCCACGAUGGAUAGGGGUUCUGAGAGGAAGGUCCCCCACACUGGUACUGAGACACGGACCAGACUCCUACGGAAGGCAGCAG